rnacentral:rRNA from 1 species
CAAUCCCUGAGUAAAGUGGCGCACGGGUGAGUAACACGUGACUAACCUACCUUUUAGUGGGGGAUAACCUAGGGAAACCUGGGCUAAUACCGCAUAAUACCUACGGGUCAAAGCAGCAAUGCGCUGGAAGAGGGGGUCGCGGCCGAUUAGCUAGUUGGCGGGGUAAUGGCCCACCAAGGCAGUGAUCGGUAUCCGGCCUGAGAGGGCGCACGGACACACUGGAACUGAAACACGGUCCAG